AAGGAGGGAAGAGAAGGAACGUAGCGAUAAGGUUAGGGGUUUCUAUCGGCCUCCAGCAGCAACGAUGGUUGUAGGCCGGCGGAAACUACUUGCUCUUGUCGCUAACGAUCGUCGGCCCGAAAGAUCCA